rnacentral:rRNA from 1 species
AUUGAACGCUGGCGGCAGGCCUAACACAUGCAAGUCGAGCGGAUGAAGGGAGCUUGCUCCUGGAUUCAGCGGCGGACGGGUGAGUAAUGCCUAGGAAUCUGCCUGGUAGUGGGGGAUAACGUCCGGAAACGGGCGCUAAUACCGCAUACGUCCUGAGGGAGAAAGUGGGGGAUCUUCGGACCUCACGCUAUCAGAUGAGCCUAGGUCGGAUUAGCUAGUUGGUGGGGUAAAGGCCUACCAAGGCGACGAUCCGUAACUGGUCUGAGAGGAUGAUCAGUCACACUGGAACUGAGACACGGUCCAGACUCCUACGGGAGGCAGCAGUGGGGAAUAUUGGACAAUGGGCGAAAGCCUGAUCCAGCCAUGCCGCGUGUGUGAAGAAGGUCUUCGGAUUGGAAAGCACUUUAAGUUGGGGGGAAGGGCAGUAAGUUAAUACCUUGCUGUUUUGACGUUACCAACAGAAUAAGCACCGGCUAACUUCGUG